rnacentral:rRNA from 1 species
GAUGAACGCUGGCGGCGUGCCUAAUACAUGCAAGUCGAGCGAACAGACGAGGAGCUUGCUCCUCUGACGUUAGCGGCGGACGGGUGAGUAACACGUGGAUAACCUACCUAUAAGACUGGGAUAACUUCGGGAAACCGGAGCUAAUACCGGAUAAUAUAUUGAACCGCAUGGUUCAAUAGUGAAAGACGGUUUUGCUGGCACUUAUAGAUGGAUCCGCGCCGCAUUAGCUAGUUGGUAAGGUAACGGCUUACCAAGGCGACGAUGCGUAGCCGACCUGAGAGGGUGAUCGGCCACACUGGAACUGAGACACGGUCCAGACUCCUACGGGAGGCAGCAGUAGGGAAUCUUCCGCAAUGGGCGAAAGCCUGACGGGGCAACGCCGCGUGAGUGAUGAAGGUCUUCGGAUCGUAAAACUCUGUUAUUAGGGAAGAACAAAUGUGUAAGUAACUAUGCACGUCUUGACGGUACCUAAUCAGAAAGCCACGGCUAACUACGUG